rnacentral:rRNA from 1 species
AUUGAACGCUGGCGGCCGGCCUAACACAUGCAAGUCGAACGAGUGUCUGACGUUUGUGUAAUGUCUGGGAAACUGCCCGAUGGAGGGUGAUAACUACUGGAAACGGUAUCUACUACCGCCUACCAUCGGAUGUGCCCAGAUGGGAGUAGCUACUAGGGGGGGUAACUGCUCACCUAGGCGACGAUCCCUAGCUGGUCUGAUAGGAUGACCAGCGAAACGGGAAAUGAGAAACGGGCCAGAAUCCUACGGGAAGCAGCCGGGGGGAAUAUUGAAGAAGGGGCGCAAGGCUGAUGCAGCCAUGGCGCGUGGAGGAAGCAGGAAAUCGGGGUGUAAAGUACUUUCAGUGAGGAGGCGUUCCUCGCAGAAGAAGCACCGGCUAACUCCGUGCCAGCAGCCGCGGUAAUAC